GACGUAGGGGGCGAGCGUUGUCCGGAUUCAUUGGGCGUAAAGCGCGCGUAGGCGGUUUGUUGCGUCGGCUGUGAAAUCCCGAGGCUCAACCUCGGGUCUGCAGUCGAUACGAGCAAACUAGAGUGUUGCAGGGGAGACUGGAAUUCCUGGUGUAGCGGUGAAAUGCGCAGAUAUCAGGAGGAACACCGGUGGCGAAGGCGGGUCUCUGGGCAACAACUGACGCUGAGGAGCGAAAGCGUGGGGAGCGAACAGG
rnacentral:rRNA from 1 species